rnacentral:rRNA from 1 species
AGAAUCAACGCUGGCGGCGUACCUAACACAUGCAAGUCGAACGCGAAAGUCCCGAAAGGGGCAAGUAGGGUGGCAAACGGGUGAGUAACACGUGGGUGACCUGCCUUCGAGCGGGGGAUAACGUCCCGAAAGGGACGCUAAUACCGCAUAACAUCCUGCCUUUGAAGAGGUGGAGAUCAAAGCUGGGGAUCGCAAGACCCGGCACUUGAAGAGGGGCCCGCGUCUGAUUAGCUAGUUGGUGGGUAACGGCCUACCAAGGCAACGAUCAGUA